rnacentral:rRNA from 1 species
AUGGCCAAGGCGGAGAAGGAGGCGGCCAUCCUCAAGGCCAAGGCGGAGAAGGAGGCGGACAUCCUCAAGGCCAAGGCGGAGAAUGAGGAGACAUUCGUCGUCAAGGCCAAGUCCAAGGCGAAUGACCCGGCGUUCAUGGCGCUGGCGGGACAGAGGGGCCCCGGUAUGGCGGAGGCGGACGAGAUGGACUACAUGUCGGACGAGACGGACUACGACUCGGACGAAGACCCUGACGUGAGCUACGCCAAGUUCUGUGAGCGGUUCGAGCAGGAAAGACGGGUGAGGCAUGCUGUCAUGCCCUGGCUCAAGUUCCAGUCCGAUGCCUCCGUCCUCAAGAUGCAGGAGGAUAACAAGAGACGGCAGGAGGAGGUUUCCGUGGUGGUCUGA